rnacentral:rRNA from 1 species
UGGGGAAUUUUGGACAAUGGGCGAAAGCCUGAUCCAGCAAUGCCGCGUGUGUGAAGAAGGCCUUCGGGUUGUAAAGCACUUUUGUCCGGAAAGAAAUCCUUGGCUCUAAUACAGUCGGGGGAUGACGGUACCGGAAGAAUAAGCACCGGCUAACUACGUGCCAGCAGCCGCGGUAAUACGUAGGGUGCAAGCGUUAAUCGGAAUUACUGGGCGUAAAGCGUGCGCAGGCGGUUUGCUAAGACCGAUGUGAAAUCCCCGGGCUCAACCUGGGAACUGCAUUGGUGACUGGCAGGCUAGAGUAUGGCAGAGGGGGGUAGAAUUCCGCGUGUAGCAGUGAAAUGCGUAGAGAUGUGGAGGAAUACCGAUGGCGAAGGCAGCCCCCUGGGCCAAUACUGACGCUCAUGCACGAAAGCGUGGGGAGCAAACAGGAUUAGAUACCCUGGUAGUCCACGCCCUAAACGAUGUCAAUUAGUUGUUGGGGAUUCAUUUCCUUAGUAACGUAGCUAACGCGUGAAGUUGACCGCCUGGGGAGUACGGUCGCAAGAUUAAAACUUAAAUGAAUUGACGGGGUCAUAGCUGUUUCC